rnacentral:tRNA from 1 species
GCGGAUUUAGCUCAUUUGGUAGAGCAUCAGCUUCCCAAGCUGAGGGUGGCGAGUUCGAGCCUCGUAAUCCGCU